CUUGUCAGUCUGUGUUGGUAAUCUUGUUGAACACAGUUUUUUUAAGUAUUGUCUAGUGGAACUGCGUAAGUGUUGCUCUCCACUUUCUGGAGGAUCAAGUUUUGAAGUCAGUGUAAUUAGAGUAUGAUAGCUAAACAGAUGGAGAAAACACCUGUCUCCGGAUUACGUCUUUAAACUAAGGGCAACCAUGGCAUGGCAUUCCUGGCAGGGAGACGGGUCCAUCUACAAUGAUGUAUACAGGCUUGGAGAUGAGUGGAGAAUGUCUCUCCGUGGGGGAUCGGACCCCUAUGCAAGUUGCCAUGUCUUCUCUGGGCGUUUGCUGUGAUCGCACUGGACAAGUGUCUGUGGGAUGAGAAGUCUUACUAGUGGAUUUGAAUGAGGAAGUGGGCGGCAGCGUUGAUGAUGAACUGGGGCUGUGGAGGUUUCCCUGCCAUCUGUCUUCCUCUUGUUCAGCACUGGAGGCGGGGCCAUUGGUGAUCUUGCCAUGCAGUCUCAGACCGGGCGGGUUCCAGGACAGGGACCUGUGCAGAUUUGGAUAUUGCCAUACAGAGACAUUGUUAUUUUGUGGAGAUAUUUGUCUGGCCCUAGAAAUCAAACCUAUCCCCACCCUUUUUUAUAUGUUGCCUUGUCUGUCUUUCCCCUCCCUAUUUUGUCCCAUAGCAGUAUAAUCUGUUACAGGGGUUGGCAGAGUAGAGCAGGGCCAAUGGUGGGUUCCAUGUUGUGUGCAGCACCAGCGUGAGAUUGUACUGUAGUGCCUUUCACCAUAUUGUUUGCUGUGACUACCCUAAGAAUAACUAUCUUGUUGCAGUGCCAUAUCAGAAAAAUUUGCAGUGUGUCACUUUUGCAUGCCUGAUAUUUACCUGAAAAAAUCAGGGGGAGGGCAACCUACCUGAGGGGAGGCUCUAUUGUGUUGACACAAUCCGGGAAAUCAUACAGUCUGCUAUGGGAGGUGGGGAAUCGUGGUCUGAUCCAUUAACAUGGAUUUAAAAUACAACUUACCUUGAGCAUACUUAUCUGCCCUGGUCUUCUGUGUUUGGCUUGUGUGCUGGAGGACAUUAAAUCCUGUGUUGGGUGGAGUUAAAAGGGAUUCACACCAAACUGUGACAGGAGCAAUGUACUGAGGUGUGGUGAAAUGUGUGUGUCAACCAUCAGUGGAAGUACAGCACCCCCUAUGUCUGUUCUGCAAACUUUGUAAGUAGUAGUGAGCCUUCACUGACUGGCCACCCCUCAUAGCCUGGUUCCUCUCUAGGUUUCUUCCUAGGUUCUGGUCUUUCUAGGGAGUUUUUCUUAGCUCCUGUGCUUCUACACCUGCAUUGCUUGCUGUUUGUGGUUUUAGGCUGGGUUUCUGUACAGCACUCUGUGACAUCAGCUGAUGUAAGAAGGGCUUUAUAAAUAUAUUUGAUUGAUUGACUGACUCUUGUGUUGACAACAUGCAUCUCAUUUGCUGAUUGGCAGCGUUCUGUAACAGCAGCCUUUCUCGAACCAUGAGAGAACUUUAAAUAAAUGAGAUGGUGAUGUACACUUAAUUGUGAAUUUUCUAAUUUCAAACGGAUCCCCUGCAACUGGACAUAUAUUUCAUGAGACACCUGUUUCCAGGAAUUGAGGACUAAGACAACAUUGCCAAGGUUGGUCAAAUUCUAUUUUCCACCCAACAGUACCUAUCAUGUAACUCUGAGUAAUGGAUACAAAAUCCUUGGUAAAAUCACAUUAUCUGGUGUAAAACUAGAACUGGUAAUCAGCAGUUAAUGGGUGAGGUGGUCAUGAUGAAAUUGCCAUUCCAAAGAAACAUCCAGAAAGUUCAGGGAACACUUGUACAGAUGUGGGAGUGUUGUCAUGAUCAAACAUUCAUCUAUUCAAUCUUCUGCUUGAAAUCCAGCAUAAUGUCUAAUCCAUCAAGAGGGAUACAGUUCACAGAAUGCAGUUCUUCUAUAAUGACACAUGCAGGAAAAUUAAUUAUGUUUCUCUCCAAGAAUCGACUCCAGGAAGAAGACCAGACACCAUACUGUAUUGUCUAUGACAAAAAAUAUAUUAUACUCCAUUGCACAGUUGGAAUGACAGCU